CCUGGCGGCACUAGCGCGGUGGUCCCACCUGACCCCAUGCCGAACUCAGAAGUGAAACGCCGUAGCGC
rnacentral:rRNA from 8 species